UGCAUUAUUUCGGUGUUUUUGAAGUUGUUUAAGUUCAUUUAUUCCAUUCAUUUGCGUGAAAUUCAUCAAAGCAUAGUGCGGAAAGUGCAAGUGUUUUUUGCAAAUAACUCUUUAAUUAAUUAAAAAUGUUAAUUUCCGGCCUCGGAUUG